GGUGCCCUUCUUUCUCCCCGUUCUCCAGCUUCGCUUUCAAAGGCGUCAGGCAGUGCUCGACACAGCGCCUUGGAUCCGCUGAAGCGUCGCGCACUCUGAGGCACAGGUGAAACCGAAGCACGUUGAACAGCGCGUUUCUUCGCGUCUCUUUUCUUUUUUCCCUUCGCGUGGGAGCGCGCCCAAUAGCUGUGCACAAAUCCGCUCAGGUGAGUCCGUCUUCAUAUACGUUCUUCGUCGGCUCGAUGAGAGAGGUAUUGGCGGCGGAGCGCGAGACGUUCUUCCAGGCUUCCGUCCAGGACGGCGAGCCGUACCGGUGGACCGCAUUGGACACCUCCCUGGACGUCAGCGGCUCUCUUCGGUUGUCGCACCUGGUGUAUCUCCCUCCGCCAUCGUUGGAGGUACUGAGAGCGUAUGAGGCGUCUCGGGGCAUCUCGCGUGCUGCGACUGUGCGUUCCGUUCGCGCCAUCGUGCGCACGUUGACCUCCAACAACAAGGUGGAGGAGUACGUGGUGGCAUGCUUCCCGCUCGAUGCGCAGCGACUGGUCAACGCACAAACCUUCACAGUUCCGUCAACGGAGGCCGACCAAAGCGGGGCCGCGGCGGCGGCUGCCGCACCGUUGCCAAAGUACACCGUAGCCUCCCUCCUGCCUCGCCGGCACGACGCGUCAGCAGGCCUUUCAAGCACAUUUCUGUUGCCAUGUCCCACAGACAUUGUCACGCAGCUGAACAUUCGGCUGGGACUGGAUGGAUUUACAGAGCUGCGGGUGGAUGGUCCAGGGACAGUGGUAUUCACGGGAGAGCAGCGACUGACGAUGGUGAGCCACUGGAGACACGAAUGCGAUGCUCACUAAGAGCAGCACCUCCGUUUCGCUGAUGUGGGCUGUGUGGGCAACGUGACGGCAGUGCCCAUCCCCUUUUCCGUGGUCUAGUUUGCCCAGAGGAUUGAGGGUCAGGGGCCCACAGGUGUGGUGGUGCGCUCUCCCACCGCGCCCGCGGCGAAACGGUGAGGAAUGCAACGAAUCGUGUAACAUAACAGAGUGAAAAUGAGCAGCCGCGGGCCACGCGAACAUGCCCCCUUCCCUCCGCCCCAGCCGGACACACAAGCGCACAAACAGAUGGAAAUCAAGAGGAGGCAAAAUGCAGAAGACGAUCAC
rnacentral:misc_RNA from 1 species